rnacentral:rRNA from 1 species
GACGAACGCUGGCGGCGUGCCUAAUACAUGCAAGUAGUACGCUGAAGGAGGAGCUUGCUUCUCUGGAUGAGUUGCGAACGGGUGAGUAACGCGUAGGUAACCUGCCUGGUAGCGGGGGAUAACUAUUGGAAACGAUAGCUAAUACCGCAUAAUAGUAGAUGUUGCAUGACAUUUGCUUAAAAGGUGCAAUUGCAUCACUACCAGAUGGACCUGCGUUGUAUUAGCUAGUUGGUGGGGUAACGGCUCACCAAGGCGACGAUACAUAGCCGACCUGAGAGGGUGAUCGGCCACACUGGGACUGAGACACGGUCCAGACUCCUACGGGAGGCAGCAGUAGGGAAUCUUCGGCAAUGGACGGAAGUCUGACCGAGCAACGCCGCGUGAGUGAAGAAGGUUUUCGGAUCGUAAAGCUCUGUUGUAAGAGAAGAACGAGUGUGAGAGUGGAAAGUUCACACUGUGACGGUAUCUUACCAGAAAGGGACGGCUAACUACGUG